GAUGAACGCUGGCGGCGUGCCUAAUACAUGCAAGUCGAGCGAACGGACGAGAAGCUUGCUUCUCUGAUGUUAGCGGCGGACGGGUGAGUAACACGUGGAUAACCUACCUAUAAGACUGGGAUAACUUCGGGAAACCGUAGCUAAUACCGGAUAAUAUUUUGAACCGCAUGGUUCAAAAGUGAAAGACGGUCUUGCUGUCACUUAUAGAUGGAUCCGCGCUGCAUUAGCUAGUUGGUAAGGUAACGGCUUACCAAGGCAACGAUGCAUAGCCGACCUGAGAGGGUGAUCGGCCACACUGGAACUGAGACACGGUCCAGACUCCUACGGGAGGCAGCAGUAGGGAAUCUUCCGCAAAGGGCGAAAGCCUGACGGAGCAACGCCGCGUGAGUGAUGAAGGUCUUCGGAUCGUAAAACUCUGUUAUUAGGGAAGAACAUAUGUGUAAGUAACUGUGCACAUCUUGACUGUACCUAAUCAGAAAGCCACGGCUAACUACGUG
rnacentral:rRNA from 1 species